rnacentral:rRNA from 1 species
AUUGAACGCUGGCGGCACGCCUAACACAUGCAAGUCGAGCGGUAACAUGAUUUGUAGCAAUACAAAUUGAUGACGAGCGGCGGACGGGUGAGGAACACGUAGGAAUCUGCCCAGAAGCGGGGGACAACCAAGGGAAACUUUGGCUAAUACCGCGUAAUCUCGCAAGAGUAAAGCUGCCCGCAAGGGUGGCGCUUCUGGAGGAGCCUGCGUCCGAUUAGCUAGUUGGUGAGGUAAGAGCUCACCAAGGCGAUGAUCGGUAACUGGUCUGAGAGGACGACCAGUCACACUGGGACUGAGACACGGCCCAGACUCCUACGGGAGGCAGCAGUGGGGAAUAUUGGACAAUGGGGGCAACCCUGAUCCAGCGAUGCCGCGUGGGUGAAGAAGGCCUUCGGGUUGUAAAGCCCUUUAGGUUGGGAAGAAGUGUACGGGGCGAAUGACCCCGUAUGUUGACGGUACCGACAAAAUAAGCACCGGCAAACUCUGUGCCAGCCGCCGCCGUAA